UUUCUCUAGACUGCUCAGAGGUGAUCCAUGUGCCUGGGUCAGAAAGGCCAUUCAAACUGCCAGAAUAUAAAAAUGAAACAGGAAAAGCAUAUUCCAGGAUUACUUUUUCAUUUGCAUAGAAAGACACUUUAAAGGAGUGGAUGAUACGUCAGACUCUGAUUCUGAGAUUGUCAUCACAUCAAGGAGCACAGGUUUUUGAACCACAAAACCAAAGUACUCCCCAACACAAACCUGAUGAUGAAAGAUAGUAAGAUCUGAUACUGAGGAUCUGGAUCCACCUGAAACAAAUCCAGACAAGACUUCUUGCUACAGGG